rnacentral:rRNA from 1 species
GUCUUUUUGAAUUUAAUUUAAAGUCUAACCUGCCCACUGAAAAUUUUUAAAUGGCCGCAGUAUCCUAACUGUGCAAAGGUAGCAUAAUCAUUAGUCUUUUAAUUGAAGGCUGGAAUGAAUGGUUGGACGAGAUAUUAACUGUUUCAUUUAAAUUUUAAAUAGAAUUUUAUUUUUUAGUCAAAAAGCUAAAAUAAAUUUAAAAGACGAGAAGACCCUAUAAAUCUUUAUAUUUUAUUUAUUAUAGUUAUAAAGAUUAUUUUUAUUAUAAUAAAUUAAAAUAUUUUAUUGGGGUGAUAUUAAAAUUUAAAAAACUUUUAAUUUAAAAAUCCAUUAAUUUAUGAAUAAUUGAUCCAUUAAUAAUGAUUAAAAAUUUAAGUUACUUUAGGGAUAACAGCGUAAUUUUUUUGGAGAGUUCAUAUCGAUAAAAAAGAUUGCGACCUCGAUGUUGGAUUAAGAUAUAAUUUUGGGUGUAGCCGUUCAAAUUUUAAGUCUGUUCGACUUUUAAAUUCUU